CACAUAUAACAUCUGAAAAAUAAGAUUUAAAUUAAACUAUUUAAUAUAAAAUCUAUUCUAGACAGUUACUAGAAUAAUUCUACAACUAGUCUAGGCAUGCAAUAGAUCAAUCUUAUAUAUUAAUUAAAAUUUUAUUUUUUAUUUUUUGAUCUGAAUAUAAUAUUUAUAACAUCAAAAAAAUAGAGAAUAAAUUAGAUCUAAUUUAUAUUUUAAUCACA
rnacentral:lncRNA from 1 species